rnacentral:rRNA from 1 species
UGGGGAAUAUUCCACAAUGGAGGAAACUCUGAUGCAGCGACGCCGCGUGAGUGAAGAAGUAAUUCGUUAUGUAAAGCUCUAUCAGCAGGGAAGAUAGUGACGGUACCUGACUAAGAAGCUCCGGCUAAAUACGUGCCAGCAGCCGCGGUAAUACGUAUGGAGCAAGCGUUAUCCGGAUUUACUGGGUGUAAAGGGAGUGUAGGUGGCCAUGCAAGUCAGAAGUGAAAAUCCGGGGCUCAACCCCGGAACUGCUUUUGAAACUGUAAGGCUGGAGUGCAGGAGGGGUGAGUGGAAUUCCUAGUGUAGCGGUGAAAUGCGUAGAUAUUAGGAGGAACACCAGUGGCGAAGGCGGCUCACUGGACUGUAACUGACACUGAGGCUCGAAAGCGUGGGGAGCAAACA